UAACCUGUUGAUGUUGAAAUUUCAAUGAAGGAACUUUGGAUCUAGGUUAGAAACCGGUUCUUUCUCUGUUGGCAAGAAAUCUUGAAACAAACUGAAUAAUGACAUACAUACAUACAUACAUACAUACAUGCAUGCAUACAUACAUACAUGCAUGCAUACAUACAUACAUACAUACAUACAUACAUACAUACAUACAUACAUACACACACACACACAUACUCAACUUGUGUAUUUAUCAAUGUUCUCGUUAUUAGACUGUACUGUAUAAAUAUGGCUACAUGCAAAAGCCUUCGGGGAGAGACAAAGACAGGGAAGCGACGAAAAAGGAAAUGCAAGAAGCUAUCAAGAAAUACCAAGCAUUCAAUGGAUUGGAGGUAACUGGUGUCUUUGACGAAGAGACGAUUAAGAAAAUGGGUUCGCCUCGUUGCGGGCUUCCAGAUUUUGAACCAGGG